CUCAACAGCAGCUUCGCAACAGCAGCCCCGGGGCUUGGCCCGAUCGCCACGCAAGCAAGCAAGCAAGCAAGCAAGCAAGCAAGCACCUGCCCGCCGCCGCCGCCGCCACCACCACCGCCACCGCCACCAUAUGGGUCGCAGAGACUGCGCACCGUGCCCGGGGGGACAUCCGGCUCCCAUCAGGCCCCGCCUGCCCCUGCCCGCAGACUCCGAGCUGCCAGGCACAGCUCGCUGCAGGCAUAGGCCUGAGCAAGAAUGGGGGACUUGGAACACAUCCCCUGACCUGUCAAACGUGAGUCAGCAGAGUGGAUCGGGGAGAUGGAAAGUGAAAGGCUUCCUGUGGAUUGCUCUGCUGGCUUCUAGAACCAGGAUCAGGUGGGAAAAGGAGGUUAAGGAUCCCAGGGCUGUGCUGGCUACCCAACCCCUCCCAAUCCAACCCCAGAGGAAGUGGGGAGAACCCUGAGACAAAGACGUUCAUAACUGGAAAAUAUAGCAGCAGCAACGGCUACCAUC